rnacentral:lncRNA from 1 species
ACGGAUUUUCAACUAGUGCAGUUCUGGUUAAGCUUUUUGAUCAUGGCCAUGCUUGUGUUCUACCACUUCACUGCUUCUGGCUGCUCUGGGAUUCUGAGUUGGUGUUUCAAUGCAGCCUUCAUCGUCUCUCUUCUCUACUUGUUCUCAGACUUUCAUGCCAAGAGUUACUCCACCAAUGCCAAGGUCUUCAAGGGUAACUAAUAAUUAAUUAAACUACCUUUUCUUUUCUUUUCUUUUCGUUUUCAUUUUUAUAUGUAGUUAUUGUUUCAGAGUGAUUCAUCAGUUGAAGAAAAAAAUGAACAUAAUUGUCAUAAAUUCCUUUUACGAUUUCAAUUCUUCGGUGUGCAUAUGUAUCUUAAUAUCAAUUAAUUGAAGAGAUUCAUUGUUAAUUUAUAUUUUAUGUUUUUACUAUAAAUGCAUGAUUAAACAGUUCCUGCUGUUGCAGAAGCGACGAUAAUAUUAAUAACAAUAUUAUCAGAAAUAUUUAGAUAAUUAUUAUGCCGACAAUUAUACUAAGAAAAUUCCCAGUUAAAUUGGAGGGGUCACAAAUGGUCCCGCUUAAAACCCAACAACUAGACAGAACUCACUUAGAUAUUUAUAGCAAUAAUAACUAAAUAAAUAUAACCAACAUAAAGCUAUUAAAUAUAAGCAAACAACUAAGAAAUAAAAUACCAGAGUUUUAACGAGGUUCGGCCAAUUUAACUUACGUCCUCGGACACUACCAAAUUAAUAUUUCCUCUAGAAAUAUUACAAUAGAGAAGAUUAACACCAAGUUACAAUUAGCUACUUGGAUUUUUGGAAUGAUAAAACCUAAGGGGGAAGGGUUCUAUAUAUAACAAACCAAACCCCCUCCCUUUCUAUCUUUUCCUAAUGUGGGAUAUUGCCAAUAUUCAACAAAUCUCCACCUUGGUGAUAUUCCACAUCUUCGAACAUCUUCUCAUAACACAAACUUCAAUAGUGUCUUCAAAUUUGCAACCAAUCGCCUUCUUCCCUUUUGGUAGUUGUGCCAGUUUCCACGUCUUGUUUUUCUCUAGAGAUUGCAUUUCCUCUUCCAUUGCACCUAACCAUCUAUUAUUCUCUAAAUUUUGAAUGGCUUCGGUGUAAGUGGAUGGAAUAUUAUCAACAACUGGAAGUGCAUAAGCUACCAUGUCAGUGAAACGAGCAGGUUUCUGAAUUUCUCGUCUCUGCCUUCUGACUGCAAUUGGCUCUGAUUGCUGUUGAGGUUCUUGGGUAGAAACCUCUUCCUCAUCUGACUCUGCAUCUGCCAAUGAAGAAUCACUAGUGGUACCUUCUGCUGGAAUUACCACUCUCUGCUCAAACUCCACCUGCUGCGGAGUACACUUCACCUGCUGCGAAGUACUACUCGAAGUACUACUCACUCCUUCUGGAUUUACCUUAUUCAACAUGGCAGAUUCAUCAAAGGUAACAUCCCUACUGAUUAUCGUCUUCUUUGCCUCUAGACACCACAAACGAUACCCCUUAACACCAGCAUUGAAGCCCAUGAAUAGAGCCUUCUUUGCUCUUGGAUCUAACUUUGAUUCUUUCACAUGAUAAUAUGCAAUAGAACCAAAAAUACGCAAGGUGUCAUAAUCAGUAGCAGGUUUUCCAUACCAUUUCUCCAAAGGAGUCUUGCCAUUUAUAGCAGAUGAUGGCAAAUGAUUGAUGAGAUGUUGAGCGUACGUCACAGCCUCAGCCCAAAACUUUCUAUCUAAUCCAGCAUUAGAUAACAUACAUCGAACUUUCUCCACAAGCGUUCGAUUCAUACGCUCUGCCACCCCAUUCUGUUGCGGUGUUCCACCUACGGUGAAGUGCCUUACUAUGCCACAAUCUUGGCAUAUCUUCAGGAAUGGAUCGCUUUUAUAUUCUCCACCAUUGUCUGAUCGGAGAACCUUAAUCUUCCUUCCUGUCUGAUUUUCAAUUUUAGUUUUCCACUUAAGGAAAACUUCAAGCACCUCAUCUUUGUUCUUCAUAGGAAACACCCAAACUCGUCUGGAAAAAUCAUCAAUAAAGGUGACAAAAUAACGUCUUCCUCCAAGUGAUGGAGUCUUGGACGGUCCCCAUACAUCAAAAUGCACAUAAUCCAGAAUACCUUUAGUAUUGUGAAUCCCAGUGCCAAAUUUCACCCUUCGUUGUUUUCCCAGAACACAAUGCUCGCAAAAUUCAAGUUUGCAAGUCUUUGUACCUUUCAAUAAUCCUUGCUUGGCUAGAGUUUGCAAGGAUUUUUCACCAGCAUGGCCCAAACGCAUAUGCCACAGCUGUGUUGCCUCAGCGUCCUUCUUGGUACUCGAAAUUGCUGCUGCUGUUGCCCCGACCACUGUACUACCUUGGUAGUAAUACAGAUUGUUCUUUCUUAUGCCUUUCAACAUCACCAAUGCUCCUGAAGUUGCUUUAAGAACUCCAUCUCGUAUUGUCACAACUAGGCCUUUAGAUUCUAACGACCCCAAAGAGAUGAGAUUCUUCUUCAACUUUGGGACAUAUCGUACAUCCCGCAAAAUUCUAGUAGAUCCAUCAUGACUCCUCAGUUUAAUUGAACCUAUCCCGGCUAUUUUACAUGUGUUAUCAUUACCCAUGUAAACAACCCCUCCAUCUAGUUUUUGAAAUUCAAAGAACCAUUCCCAAAUGGGACACAUAUGAUAGGAACAACCAGAAUCCAUGAUCCACUCAUCUGCAUGUGAUGUUGAAGAUGUCAUACUAAGAGAAAAGUCUGACUCUGCUUCACUAUUGCAUUCUGCAACAUUUGCAUCUUGCGGAGUCUUCCAUUUUUUCUUCAAUUUUGGACAAUCUUUCUUCCAAUGUCCUUUUUCUUUGCAAAAGGAACAUUCAUCUUUGGCAACAGCUCGACCUUUGGACUUUCUUCUCUUCCUCUUAGACUGACUUUCCUGACGAUCUCUUGUUAACAAUGCUUCCACUGCUGCUUCACUUGAACCUUUCAACUUAUCCUUUCGGCGUAGUUCAUAGCUAUACAAUGCAGCAGUUACUUCAUUGAAAGUUACUUCCGACUUUCUAUGAAGUAAAGUAGUUUCAAGGUACUCAAACUCCUUUGGAAGCGAUCCCAACAACAUAAACGCCAAGUCUUCGUCUUCAAAAGUCACAUCCAAAUUCAACAAAUCAACCACCAGCUGAUUAAAAUUGGUAAUGUGCUCAUUCAUCGUGGUACCAGGAACAUAACUGAAACGAAACAGUCUUUUCUUCAUAUGCAACUUAUUUUGACUGUUCUUCUUCAGGAAUUUCUCCUCCAAUGCUUUCUACAAUUUACUUGCAGAAGUCUCUUUACUGAAUAUAUACUUCUGCUCUCUGGAAAGACAUGAUCGAAUUGUACCACAUGCCAAUCGGUUGAUGGUCUUCCAUUCUUUAUCAUCAACCCCUUCUGGUUUUUCUUCCUCAAUGGCAAUAUCUAGACCUUGUUGAAAGAAGGCAUCUAGAAGCUCACUUUGCCACAUGCCGAAAUGACCUAUUCCAUCAAAAAUUUCCACUGCAAAUCUCGUAUUUGCAAUUCCAACCCUCGACAAAAUGUACGAAGUGGAAGUUGUUGAUAUGGAUGGUUUUUCUUCUGUCAUUUUUGCCAUAGCUUCUAUUUAAUAGCCACCAAAUGCGGAAUACCCACAAGCUUUAGGAAAUGUUUCUGAUGUGUAAGAUCAGACUAAGCUGCAAACACAGAGCAUACUACAAAACCUUGGCUCGGAUACCAAUUGUUGCAGAAGCGACGAUAAUAUUAAUAACAAUAUUAUCAAAAAUAUUUAGAUAAUUAUUAUGCCGACAAUUAUACUAAGAAAAUUCCCAGUUAAAUUGGAGGGGUCACAAAUGGUCCCGCUUAAAACCCAACAACUAGACAGAACUCACUUAGAUAUUUAUAGCAAUAAUAACUAAAUAAAUAUAACCAACAUAAAGCUAUUAAAUAUAAGCAAACAACUAAGAAAUAAAAUACCAGAGUUUUAACGAGGUUCGGCCAAUUUAGCUUACGUCCUCGGACACUACCAAAUUAAUAUUUCAUCUAGAAAUAUUACAAUAGAGAAGAUCAACACCAAGUUACAAUUAGCUACUUGGAUUUUUGGGAUGAUAAAACCUAAGGGGGAAGGGUUCUAUAUAUAACAAACCAAACCCCCUCCCUUUCUAUCUUUUCCUAAUGUAGGAUAUUGCCAAUAUUCAACACCUGCUGCAUGCAAUUGUAUUAUAUUAUCGUUUCUAAUGACGAAGAAAAUGGAACAACCGUGAAGUGAAAAAAAAAAAGUUGAUGAGAAAAAUAAAUCAAGGCGGACAUAGAAAUUGUUGUCGCAGUCAACAUUAAAUAUGGUAAGCAGGUGAGUUAAUAAGUUUGACAGGUCCUCACCAAAAAUUAACUUCUCCCUUUUAUCGUCAUAUGUAUUAUUUAAGAUAUUGCAUGCUUUUGUCGUUUUCAUUACACCAAUAUUUUAUGUCUAGUAAGUUUUGGAACAACACCUCAUGAUUCAUCCAUUAAAUUCCAAUUUAGCGUUAUAUAAGUUUUUUUUUCUUAGAGAAUAUUAAGAAAAUCCAGUGUCAUAUAUACACAACAUGAAAUAAAUUUGGUAAUAAAAAAAAUUUGAGAGUAGGGCACCAAAUUAUAGUCCAGUAUUUCAAAUUAAUUUGGUUAUAAGGUCAACAAUCAAUUAUGCAAAUGAUGUAAACCUAAGACACUACUUUAUCACAUGUAUUGUUUCUACUGAUUAGUUUUAAUCAAUUGAAGUUAAUUGGAAAUAAAAUAAAGUAAUUGAUUAUGAAAUUGAUAGAGAUAACAGGUCAACCAAAUGAAUUAUUUUUCCUAUAUUAAAUUAUAAAACAUUCAAAAUGUAGUUAUGACACACGAAUAAGAUUUAUAUAAAAUAUAUAUAUUUAUUAAAAUUUUAUAUGAAAAUCAAAUCAAAUGAAAUUGAAGUUUUUAAAAUUAUAAUGUUUAUGGUGAAUUCAAGUAACAUCUAAAACAAUCAUUAAAAAAAUUGGAGAUUAAUAAGUUAGAAUUGUUUGGAGAGAUCUUACUCAAAAUAAAAAUUACUUUGACGAAAAUCAUAUUAUUAUAUUUUUUAAUAUGAAAGCUUCAAUCUUAUCAGAUUUAUAAUUUUACUUUAUAUUAUUUUUAAUUCAUAUUGUAAUUAUAAUUUAUAAUGAUAAUUAUUUAUUAUUUAUUAUUAUUUUAAAAUUUCAUAACCUUCGUUACUUACGGUUUGUUUAAGGUUACACACAAAAUUAAUGAAAAAUUAUAACCUCUGCUGCUUGAGGUUUGCUUAAGGUUGUUCACAAAAUUAAUGAAAAAAUUAUAACCUUCAUCACUUAUGACUUGUGUUAUAAAAGGUAAAAAAAUCAAGACAAAUCAAUUCAUCGUGUUUUUCUUCAUCAAAUCUGAUAGACGACUUCAAUUAAACAUUAGAUAAAUCUCUAUUGAUUUUAGUUUGCAUAAUACGAAAAACUUCAAUUUUUAAAUUUGAUCCAAUUUGAAUUUAAAUUUUAUUUAAUAAAAUAUUUAUAUGAUUUUAAAUUAGAAAAUAUAUUUAAAAAGUAAAAAAAUACAGAUUUAAUAUUAAAAUUAAAAAUUAAUGUUUUAACUUAAUUAAAUUUAAAUAUUAAUAUUUAAUUUGGUAAUUUUAAUAUAUUAAAAUCCCAAAUAAUUCUAUCUAUUAAUGUACAAUUACAAAUUAAAUCAACUUUAUGCUCAAAAUAAUUUUUUUAAUAUAUAUAUGAAUUAUAAAAAUAGAAUUGUUCUAAGUUUUAUUCCAAAAUCAAAGUGUUAAAAUGGGAUGCAUUUCUUAUAUUAAUAUUUUAUUUUCAUAUUAAAAUAAUAAAAUGUAAAUUAAAAUGAGUUGAAAUUUAAUAAAUAUUAAAUUACACUUUCUAAUUAACUCCAAUUGCAUAUUGAUUGUCAUUAGGAUUAUCUAAUCACAUUAUUUUUAUAAUACAAAUAUGAGAAAAUAUUUAGUACAUCAGUGAAAUUUUUAACUUUCACAAGUAAAGUUAGAGAGUUUAACAAGUUAUAGGGAUAGAGUAAAAUAUUAAAAAAAAAGAGAGUCAUAUAACAAAAUUUUAAAGUUGUUUGUGAAAUAAAUAAAAAAAUACACUACCACUAUAACAAAUACUAACCUUGCAAAUAUAUUUACAAUAUAAAAUGUUUUAAAACAUUAAGAGUAAAUUAAAAUAAUAAUAAUAAUGUGCAACGCGUGUGGGGCUAAAAACUAAUAUAUAUAAAAUACAAAGUAAAAAAAUGGACUAAACUAGGUUUAAGUUUUGAGUAUUAGAGUUCAAGCUUGAUUCAUAUUUUAAAUGAGUCUAAUAUUUUUAUCUAAAACUAUUUUUAAACUUCAUAAUUUUAUUCAAAUCUAUUUAUUAUAUAAAAUCAAAUUCUUUUGGGAGUCAUUAGGAAUUAAUAAGGAUAAUUUUGGUAGUAAAAGUUAAAGACAAUUAUAUAUUUUGGAAAAAAUAAUUAUUUUAAAAUUUAAUAAAACUAACUCCCUUUUAGUAAUUAGGAAUUAAUAAGCACAAUUUAGACAUUAAAAGUUUAGAUAAUUGAAAUUUUUUAAUUACUUAUUUUAAAAUUUUUUAUUCCAUUUUAAUUAUUUGUAUUUAAAUUGUUCUUUUAAGUCCAAAUGAAAUUAUUUAUGCUUAAUUCAUUAAUCUUUUACCAAAAUUUUUUUUUAAAAAUUUUUAAUAAUUUAAUAAUUUAAUUUUAAUAUAAAAAAUCUAUAUUCCAAGAAUUUACAUACCAAAAUGUAUAUAAAAAAUUUAGAUAGUAAGUUGAUGUUUUUAAAGGAAAAGGUGAGUAAAAAAUAAAAUAUUUUUAAGAUUAUUCAAAAGAUAAUAUCUGCAGUAGUAUCAGUAUCAGUAUCAGUAUCUAUAUGUAUUAAUAUCAUAUUUACUUUUGUUUUCUUCUAAAUUUAAAUUGGUUAGUUUCUUUAGUUUUACUUAAUAUAUUAUUAUUAAAAAAUUUAAUAAAUUUUCAAUUGAACUUUAAUUUCAGCUACACAUUUUGUAUAUGGUAAUAUUUGUUAUUAAGAAUAUUUGAUAUAUUAAUUAGCUUUUCAGUUACAAGUUUUUUUUGUAUAAAUAUUGUUCCAUCUUAUUAUUUUAUCCUAAUUUUCGUUUGAUCGUAAUUUUAUCUUAAUUUUUAAUUUUUUUUUCUCUACUAAGAGGUUAGUUUUUUAAAUGGAUACACGUGUUUACAUGCUAUUUUUAAAUAAAUUAUUAGUUUUUUUUAUCUAUUUCUUUGUUUUUCAAUGUCAAGCUCGAGUCUAAAACUUUUUUAUUUUUAAAUUGAGAGUAUAAUUUUUUUUCUAGUCUUCGUCGUAUUCUAACAUAAAAAAUUAAAAAUCCAUUAAUAACACUAUUUACUAAUAUUAUACAAAUAUAUAUCCAAAAUAGAUUACAAGAUUUCCUUUUAUGUCCAUUUUUAAUAUUUUUUUAUAAUAAUUCCAUGCAAGGGAAAAAUCAGGAUUUUAUUGUUUGAAGUUUAGAUAAAGCAUUUCUCUUUUCAAUUUUCUUACUCUUUUUUGUUGCACGUGAAAAAGUUAUUGGUGCUACCGCCCAGCUUUGGAUAUCAUUCUAUAUUUAAAUUGGGUAUAUUUCAUUUAUAUGAUUUGACAUGUUGAUGGCAUAUUUUAUAAAAUCAUAACAAUUUUCCAUAUAAGGUAAAAUUGUAUUUUAGAUAUCUAUUAUUGAUAGUAGUAAUUAAUUUUUUUGCUGGUAUUUUUUAAAGAGAUAAACGAUUAAUCAUGAAAUAUGCUCUAUUCUUAAUAAAGAGGCAAUGGAAGAAGAUUGUAUUUGAGUUGUUCGAUUAAAAAUUUUCAAAAUUGACUUGGAAAGAAGAAGUCAAAUAGAUUUAAAAAUAAUAAUAAAGAAAAAAAAUACAGAAACAACUAAAAGAAAAAAAUUAAGAACAAAGAAUAAAGAUUUAAAACAAUAAAUAAAUAAAACGAAAAUUAAAAAGUGGUUUAAAAAAUCGAUUGAUAUAAUAGCUAGAUGAAUAAGUGUCCAAUUGAACCAUUUGAGACAAAAAUCACAACAAAUUCAAUUAAUAACUCUAAUGGAACUCUAAUUAAUCUAAAUAAAAAAAAAUUAUAUGAUAAAGCAAGUUCUGAUGAAAAAUUCCUAUUACAUAGUGAGAUGACAAGUAAUGGAUUUUGAUAACAAUUUUUAUUAAAGUGGGAAGUGAUAAUGUAGUGAAUUAAUUUGGUAAAAGUUUUGUUCUUGUCAAGCCAUGAAAAGAUAAAAGUAAUAAAUUAUGGUAAUAAUGAAUCAUAUAAAUAUGGAAUUAUCUGUUAAUUAUUAAAAUAUGCUUUAUUAAGAUAUGUUCAAGAAUUAUAAUAGUAGUAAUUUUUUAUAUAUAGAGUUUAAGGUAAAAAAAAAGAGAUUAUUCCUGGGUACUUACUAAGCUUUUACAAGUGUAACGUGUGUUUUAAACACGUAGAUGGAAGAUCGAAUUAAAGCUCUAGAUUCAGGUUGAGAUUUCAACUCAUCUCAUCUCAUAACCAAGGUUUGAAGAGAGUACAAAUUUGAUAUUUUGGUUAUAGAAUAUGACAUGUACACAAGUUAUUGCCAGUGUUUUGAUAUUUUGAGUUUUAUAAUGAUUAGUUGACGUGAAAUAGUCGAAGUUGCUUCGGCAAUUAAUGUAACAUCUCAGUACUUUGACCCGAUGUUUGGGUCGGAUAUGAGGGUGUUACAUUGUUGGUAACUAUUUUGUAACUUUUCAUAAUUAGGUGACAAAAAAUUUCACUAAUAGUUAGAUAUUAAUUUUAUAAUUUUUCAUACUUGGGUGAACAAAAAGAAUUUACUAAUAGUUGAAGAAUUUACUAAUAGUUCAGUGAGUAAUAGUUUGAUUUACCCAAAAAUCUAUGUACUUACAAGUUACAAGAGGGGUAGGCUAAUUACCCCCUAUCCAUAAAUGAAUUCAUUACUGGCGGACCAUUAUCCAUAAAUGAAUAAACAUAAACAGGAAUGCAGUGGAAGUGGAUGGAUCAAUGAUAUCCAGUACCGGUAGGCAGUUGAGGUAGAGAAAAUAUUGGGUCAUACUUUUCAGUGCUUUUAAAGGCAAUCCCCCUCCCCUCCUCCUUUUUGCUGCAGCUUUAUUAACUGACGUAGUGCUAGAGUAGUAAAGGCAGCAGCAAGAUGGAAGUCCCCUUUUUCCCAACCCUUUUCUCCUGUAUCAAAGGCUUGGUGGUGCAACAAGCCUUGUUCUCAACCUUGGAGGAUUGGCUAGUGAAGCAUCCCAAAAUCCUCCAGUUUUCAUGGGAAAAUGGCCAAACACCAGCCUCCUCUCACCGCUUCCUCACCCUCACUGUCUUGUCUUACAUCUCUUUCACCUUCGUUCUCUCCCAACUAUCUCGCCCUUCACUUUCACGUCCACUCCUCAAAUCAAUCGCAGCCGUCCACAACAUCUUCCUCCUUACCCUUUCUUUCAUCAUGGCCCUGGGUUGCCUCGUUUCCAUCUUCUCCCAGGUGCCUAACUUCAACACCCUCGUUUGCUUCCCUAGGGGUACAUCCCCAUCGGGCCCUCUCUUUUUCUGGGCAUACAUCUUCUACCUCUCCAAGAUUGUUGAAUUCAUGGACACCCUUUUGAUCAUCCUCAGCGGAUCCAUGAAGAGGCUAUCCUUCCUUCACGUCUACCAUCACUCCAUGGUGGUCAUCAUGUGUUAUAUUUGCUUAGACAGUGCUCAGUCCUCCGUACCCAUGGUGCUGAUCACCAACUGCGUGGUGCAUGUCGUAAUGUACUCCUAUUACCUGUUGUGCACCCUGGGGAUGCACCCCAAGUGGAAGAAAAUGGUGACGGAUUUUCAACUGGUGCAGUUCCGGUUAAGCUUUUUGAUCAUGGCCAUGCUUGUGUUCUACCACUUCACUGCUUCUGGCUGCUCUGGGAUUCUGAGUUGGUGUUUCAAUGGAGCCUUCAACGUCUCUCUUCUCUACUUGUUCUCAGACUUUCAUGCCAAGAGUUACUCCACCAAUGCCAAGGUCUUCAAGGGUAACUAAUAAUUAAUUAAACCAACUUUUUUUUGUUUUUCCAUUUCGUUUCCAUUGUUACAUGUAGUAAUUGUUUCAGAGUGAUUCCGUUCAAGCUCAUGAAUCUGGUAUAGAAUCUUAAUUGUGAAAG